rnacentral:miRNA from 1 species
UGAGGCAGGAGAAUUGCUUGAACCCAGGAGGUGGAGGUUGCAGUGAGCCGAGAUCGCGCCACUGCACUCCAGUCUGGUGACAAAGUGAGACUCCGUCUCA